AUUGAACGCUGGCGGAAUGCUUUACACAUGCAAGUCGAACGGCAGCACGGGGGCAACCCUGGUGGCGAGUGGCGAACGGGUGAGUAAUACAUCGGAACGUGCCCAAUCGUGGGGGAUAACGUAGCGAAAGCUACGCUAAUACCGCAUACGAUCUACGGAUGAAAGCGGGGGAUCGCAAGACCUCGCGCGAAUGGAGCGGCCGAUGGCAGAUUAGGUAGUUGGUGGGGGUAAAGGCUCACCAAGCCGACGAUCUGUAGCUGGUCUGAGAGGACGACCAGCCACACUGGGACUGAGACACGGUCCAGACUCCUACGGGAGGCAGCAGUGGGGAAUUUUGGACAAUGGGCGCAAGCCUGAUCCAGCCAUUCCGCGUGCAGGAUGAAGGCCUU
rnacentral:rRNA from 1 species